rnacentral:sRNA from 1 species
UUGUGCUACUAACCCUAGGUGUUUCUUUACUUCUCCGCCAGUGUUUCUCCCCGCGCCUCCCUCUCCCUCUCCCUCACUCUCACUUCUCUGUCUGUGUUUCUCCCGCCGUCUCCCUCUCACAGCCCCGCAGCCUCGCCGUCUAGACAGUCGGACUCGACACUUGACAGCCAUCGCAAAGAUGAAGUCAAAUGCGAUGAAGUCAAAUGUAUUGAAGUCAAAUGCCUCAAGCUCAAACUCAAACUCAAUGAGAUAAAAUGGCUCUCAUGAAAAACCAAACUCAUCUACUUCUACUCCAUCACAAGACGUUGAUGGUGAAUCAACUCUGCCUCAAUAUCCAUGGUGGCAUCUCAACAAACUCCUACUAAUCUUUAUGGUGGAUUCGGAACCUCCUUCGAUGCAACUCGAAAAGGUGACUCGACAAAGGAAGAAAAGACGAAGCUCUCUUGGAAUCAUUAAAAACUCAUGAAAGGUGGUAAAAAUCCUUUCAAGAAAUUGGCGCCGUUACUGGGUUUUUGGAUAGCAAAGAAGUUAUGGCCUUUGUUCUACCAAUAGCGGGACAACCACUGAAGGAAUCCCUGGCAGCUCAUGCCACAGAAGUGCCAAGCUACAUUACCUAUCCUGAAGUUGAAGAUGGGUCCACGUUUGAGAUACGACAUCAUAUGUUAGAGAUUCUACCUUCCUUUCACAGUUUAUCAACAGAUGAUCCUAACAUGCAUCUAACCGAAUUUCUAAUUGGAUGCAAAAAUAUUUUGGUGAAAGGAUUUUCAGCAGAAUGUAUCAAACUUAGACUUUUUCCUUACACCUUGAAGGAUGGCGCAAGGAGAUGGUCACACUUCCAUCUGGAAGCAUUACUUCGUGGAACCAACUCAGUCUUGCGUUUUUAAGCAAAUACUACCUAGCUUAAAAAACACUUGAUAUGAGCACUCAAAUUUUAACAUUUGCUCAGAAACCGAAUGAAGCAAUUCAUGAAGCAUGGGAACGUUACAAGGAUCUGCUCAGGAAAUGUCCACAUUCAGGCAUUAAUGGUGACACUCAAAUGAAUUUAUUUUACAGAGGGCUGAAUUUGACUACUAAGACUGUUGUUAAUGCUUCUUGUGGAGGAACAUAUUCAGAAAAAAAUGCACUGCAAGUGUAUCAAUUGUUUGAGAGCAUGGCGACAAAAUCUCAACAAUGGGCAGUUGAUAUACCUCAGACCAAGGGUGUUUUUGAGAUGUCCAGUGGCGUACCUCAUGUACCUGCACAAAUAGAAAAGAUGGAGAAAAAGUUAGAAAAUUUUGAUGCAAAAUUUGGCAUUCUUUUACAAAGAAUGGCAGCACUUGUGUAGCAGGUUGCUAUCUAGCAGGCUACUGCAGCCACAUACCAUUUAUGGCAUCACAACACAUGAUUUAUGGGCUGCCCACAUAGGGAUGCAUAUCUG